rnacentral:tRNA from 1 species
ACCUAUCACUAUAGUUUAAAUAAAACAUCGGUCUUGUAAACCGAAAUUAGAUCAUUUCUUUGUGG